rnacentral:misc_RNA from 1 species
UUAAGUUCAGCGGGUAUCCCUACCUGAUUCGAGGUCAAACUGGGUGGUAUCUUAAUGGACGAGAUCCCGCCGGGAGCCUUCCCUAGCGCAUUGUGCUGCGCGAGAAGCCGGCGAUGUCGCUGCCAAUGGAUUUGGGGCGAGUCGUCACACGAAGCGAGGACAGACGCCCAACACAAGCAAAGCUUGAGGGUGUAAAUGAC